rnacentral:rRNA from 1 species
AUUGAACGCUGGCGGCAUGCCUUACACAUGCAAGUCGAACGGCAGCACGGGUGCUUGCACCUGGUGGCGAGUGGCGAACGGGUGAGUAAUACAUCGGAACGUACCUUAUCGUGGGGGAUAACGCAGCGAAAGCUGUGCUAAUACCGCAUACGCCCUGAGGGGGAAAGCGGGGGAUCGCAAGACCUCGCGCGAUUAGAGCGGCCGAUGCCUGAUUAGCUUGUUGGUGGGGUAAAAGCCCACCAAGGCGACGAUCAGUAGCUGGUCUGAGAGGACGAUCAGCCACACUGGGACUGAGACACGGCCCAGACUCCUACGGGAGGCAGCAGUGGGGAAUUUUGGACAAUGGGGGCAACCCUGAUCCAGCAAUGCCGCGUGAGUGAAGAAGGCCUUCGGGUUGUAAAGCUCUUUUGUCAGGGAAGAAACACCGGCUCUAACACAGUCUGGGAAUGACGGUACCUGAAGAAUAAGCACCGGCUAACUACGUGCCAGCCGCCGCCGUAA